rnacentral:snRNA from 1 species
AGACGUGAGGACAUUCUAGUUAUGACAUCUGUCACCCCAUUGAUCACCAGGGUAGAUCUAGCUGAUGACAUGGGUGUUCCCUUCUUCCCGCACAGCUCCUUAUGCAUUCCUCCCAAAGCUGCAUGCUGUCAAAGAGGACAGCUUUCCCCAUGGAAUGGGUCCUCAUUCAUGAGUCAAGGGUAUAUGAGUAGCUACAUUCCCCUGCUAGAUUCCCAAACUCACUCUCAAGAAGUAGGAACUGGAAAUGAUUUAAAGAUGAUCUUGUCUAAAACUUAAAGAUGAAGAAAAGUAAAUAUAUUCAACAAUUU